GCGCACAUAAGACAUGCAAGUCGAACGGAAGUCGUUACAAAAAGGAUUGAAGAUUUAUCUGAUUGAGAUUUUGUAACAAUGGCUUUAGUGGCGGACUGGUGAGUAACGCGUAAGCAAUCUGCCUGUUAGAGGGGAAUAACAAUGAAAAAUCAUUGCUAAUACCGCAUAUGCCAUAGUUAUCGCAUGAUAACAGUGGGAAAGGAGUAAUCCGCUAACAGAUGAGCUUGCGUCUGAUUAGUUAGUUGGUGGGGUAACGGCCUACCAAGACGACGAUCAGUAGCCGGACUGAGAGGUUGAACGGCCACAUUGGGACUGAGAUACGGCCCAGACUCCUACGGGAGGCAGCAGUCGGGAAUAUUGCGCAAUGGAGGAAACUCUGACGCAGUGACGCCGCGUAUAGGAAGAAGGUUUUCGGAUUGUAAACUAUUGUCGUUAGGGAAGAAAAAAGACAGUACCUAAGGAGGAAGCUCCGGCUAACUACGUGCCAGCAGCCGCGGUAAUACGUAGGGAGCGAGCGUUAUCCGGAUUUAUUGGGUGUAAAGGGUGCGUAGACGGGUCUACAAGUUAGUUGUGAAAUCCCUCGGCUCAACUGAGGAACUGCAGCUAAAACUAUAGAUCUUGAGUGCANGAGAGGUAAGUGGAAUUCCUAGUGUAGCGGUGAAAUGCGUAGAUAUUAGGAGGAACACCAGUGGCGAAGGCG
rnacentral:rRNA from 1 species